UACGAGUGGCCCAAGCGUUAUCCGGAAUUAUUGGGCGUAAAGAGCUCGUAGGCGGUUUGUCGCGUCUGCCGUGAAAGUCCGGGGCUCAACUCCGGAUCUGCGGUGGGUACGGGCAGACUAGAGUGAUGUAGGGGAGACUGGAAUUCCUGGUGUAGCGGUGAAAUGCGCAGAUAUCAGGAGGAAUACCGAUGGCGAAGGCAGGUCUCUGGGCAUUAACUGACGCUGAGGAGCGAAAGCAUGGGGAGCGAACAGG
rnacentral:rRNA from 1 species